GGGGGAUGGAGGCAUGAAGGGGGUGGGAGGGAUGGAUGGGGAGCAGAGGGGAGGGAAGGCAGAAGGAGAGGGAGUGAGGAGGCGUAUUUUGGCGUAUUUUGCGAGUGACACCACUGACAGGUGCCACACAAACACAGCCGCUGUCACAGCGUCCUCUGGGUGUGCAAUUCCACAAUAUUACGAAAUGGUGGUAUGCCUAAUGACCCCAACUGAACUAGCCUGGUUAAACCCUGACUGAACUUGCCUGGUUAAACCCCGACUGAACUAGCCUGGUUAAACCCCUACUGAACCAGCCUGGUUAAACCCCUACUGAACUAGCCUGAUGAAACAGCGUUCAGUGUGCUUUAGCCAUGCUAGCAGUAUUCAGUGUGGUUUAGCCAGGCUAGCAGUAUUCAGUGUCGUUUAGCCAUCCUAGCAUUAUUCAUGAAGGUUUUAGCCAGGUUAGCAGUAUUCAGUGUGUUUUAGCCAAACUAGAUGUAUUCAGUCUGGUUUGGCCGAGCUAGAUGUAUUCAGUCUGGUUUAGCCAAGCUAGCCAAGCUAGCAGCAUUCAGUCUGGUUUAGCCAAGCUAGCAGCAUUCAGUCUGGUUUAGCCAAGCUAGCAGCAUUCAGUCUGGUUUAGCCGAGCUAGCAGUAUUCAGUGUGGUUUAGCCAUCCUAGCAUUAUUCACGGUGGUUUAGCCAGGUUAACAGUAUUCAGUGUGUUUUAGCCAAGCUAGCAGUAUUCAGUCUGGUUUAGCCGAGCUAGCUGUAUUCAGUCUGAUUUAGCCGAGCUAGCUGUAUUCAGUCUGGUUUAGCCAAGCUAUUUCAAGUUUUAUUAUCAUGUAGAACAGAAAACCAGCAGGCUCCAGACUUCGUAGAGUAAGAGUUGAGUACCCCUUGUCUAAACCAUUUAUUUCUAUGUGGCGGCGCUGUCCACUCAGGUUAAUUUCGGCCUCAUCUCCUUUAUGAAUAGAUUUUCCUUUGUACUUGCUAAUUUGUUUGUAUUGCAUCCUUGAUAACAUCGAUGUCCAGCUGGGCGUCUGUACGAUAAAUAUAGCAACUCCUCUCAUACUGCCUUAUGGGAAGUUUUAUGUUAAAUGUAGUACCCGGACAGAAAAAAAUCCCAUAAGCGUUUCAUAGCUACAUCGUUAGGGUAAGUUAACCAAAAGUGGAGUUUGCCCAUCCUUUGUAGACAGUUUAAUAAUGCUUAAACCUCAUCUUCAUCAAAUGAUCCAUCAGAGGGACCAACUCUGAACCAACGUACAUCUACGUAUAGGUUGUUGAAGUUGCAUCUCAUUAUAUUCCCAGCAUUACUUUAUCAAAUCUCUAGUAAUCGAUUAUACACACCAUCACAAUCCAUAUAGAAUGUUAUAAAUUCUUAGGUACUCACAUCAACCAAUCCAUUGGCUCAGAAAAAGUUUCCCGGACACUGCCCUGCCCGGUCAUGGGAUCCUAGAGGGAUCUAUCGUCCCAGAAACCACAGCAAAGUCUAGCCUCCCAGAAACUACAGACUUGCUGCUAUUAUCUAAAAUAACACCCCGCUCUCAAUACCACCCUGUGAUAUUCUAUGAUGGGCAGUGAUGUACAGAACCCCAAGAUAACGUUAUAUCAAAACUCCAAGUAUCAAUCAUCUUAUUAUACAUAUUUCUAAAUGUUAUUAUCCAAACUCCAGAUUUAUUUCCACAUUCACACAGCUCUCAUAUCACAUUCACACAAUGCUAUUCCCAAACAUACUUAAUCAAUAUUUGUAUAACUUGCAGGAAUAUUUUUCUUCUAUAAAUGGGGCACAAAUUUGGAAUAACAUUUUACAAUAACCAAUUUUACCAUAAACAUAAAUCUCCUCAAGGUUUCCAAAUUUGGGAAACAUGCAGGGAUCGGUCCCACCAAGAUACAGUGACCGACCACACCCUAAAAGACUGGCCAAAAUACAAUGUUGAGACGUCAUACAAACACACCGGUUCGCACAAGCUGUUCUUCAAACAGGAUUUCUCAUAAACUUUUAUUGAAGAUCACGUACAUUCCUAGGGGUUCAUCACGUACAUUCCUAGGGUUCAUCACGUACAUUCCUAGGGUUCAUCACGUACCUCAGGAAUACUUUAAAGACAAUGAGCACCCUUUUCGCCUAACUGCCCACUUCUGACCUCGGUAAAUAAGAGACUAUAUUUCUCUUUUCCAAACCAACUCCACAACCUAGGAUAAGGGUAGCAUGUCUUUCAAGAACAAUAUAUCAUUAGCUACGUUUCUUCUUGCUCACUCAACAUUUUUGCCUAACUACGCACUCUAAUAUUAACAAUGUUCAAUUAAUGUCUAACAUUUUUCUAUUAAUUCUGUGACCUUUCAAGUUUAAUUAUUGAAAGAAACCAGUAUCAACCUUAAUAUAUGUUACGAUCAACUAGGAGUGGUGGUGGGUGGAAUCAGGCGCAGAGAGCAGGGUUCAGUCUUUCUUUCAAAUUUAUUCCCCAGCGCAACAAAACAGUCACGCCAACACACAGGGCGUAUAAUAAGUUGCCGGUCCAAACAACAGGACAAAAUAGUCCGGAGAAUAAAUAUACGAAUAACUCACACCAUCAAACACAGAGUAACACAAACAAGCCCGCACAAAUACCCAGCGGGCCUAGUGCCCUUAAAUACCCUACAAACAAAUCCUAAUACAAAACAGGUGUACCCAAUUACCCAAUAACCAAAAACAAACGGAAAGGGAAUCGAUGGUAGCUAAUAGGCCGGCGACGACGACCGCCGAGUACAGGAAGAGGCACCGUCUUCGGCAAGGUUCGUGACAGUACCCCCC
ensembl:lncRNA